UGUGUUUGCCAGAAGGAAUGGAGAGCAGUCUGUAGCCGCCCUGGUUGAGUUCUGGGCUGGACCCAGACUUGAGAAGAGACACACCGACAUCAACUGGGUUUAAUUAAGCUACAGAGAGAAACUGGUCUUUCUCCUCUCUGUGAUCAUAUAAAAUCUUAAGCACAUCAUGUAAAUGAGCAAAGGUUCCUGUCCAGCUGGUUGGGGAAAUGGCGAGGAUCCAAGAAGGCCUGCAAGGAGUGAUAAAAGAAACUGAUUGCAGCCGUCAAAUGCAAUGCUGUUCAUCUUUCCUGCUGGCCCAUCAAACACGAUGAAUGCUGAACAGAAAAACUGACAAACAGAUGAAAAGACUAACAGAGCCUAGGAGUCAGUGAAAGCAAGCUGUUAGAAAACGCAAGUCGCAGGUAAGCUCCAUUUGAGACAGCUAUUGCCUAUGUGCAUGCACAGAUGACACCUUCAUGACAGUUUGGAGGAGGGGUUGCAAGCAUGGAGGAACUGAGCAGGCUGGCCAAGACUCUUCUUCUGCCAGAAACAUGAAUGUUGUACGAACUGUGUGUUUGCAACAAGUAUUCAGUUCACUUUAAAAUUACGUAUUCCACAAAGGUCUGUAAAGUUAUGCUACAUUAAUUUCUGUAUAAAAUUUCCUCUGUGUAUCAUUUUAAGACAUAUCUGGAGUUCAGUUCCUAAUGUGGAGGGGGGUUGGGUGAAAGGUGGAAAGUCUGGUGAAGAGAAUAAAGUCUGGG